AUAAUAAGGAUUCUUCAGGAUCUAAUACAACAAACAAUGUUGCUGGUGUGAUGGUCAUUGGAUCACUUACUGCUGGCCUGUUGUUUGCUCUGUGUUUCAGAAAAAGAAAUGCUCUGCGCUAUGAAUCAGGAAAGGCUGUUGAAGAUAAUCUGGAAAUUUGUGACAUCAGUCCUGAGCAUUGAAGCUUCUAAUAUCAGGAGAUUGGGUUUUUGGAGCUUUCUUAGCUUUCUUAUGCCUGGUCAGACCAUUAUUCACAAUUAUUUUACAAAUUUAAUAAAAUUAAUGUUGUAGUUUUUGGAAAUAGUUAAUAACAUUCAAAUCUAAAUAUAGUUCUGUAAAAAGUCUUUUUAUAUCUAUCUAGGGAGUUCUUCAUCACUACUGUCACUUUUUGCUUAACUGAUGGUUUUAUGGUAAUAUUGUUAUGUAAAGUACCUGUAAAGUAACAAUAUUCAUGCUUAUUAGGUAAGCGUUAUACAAAUAAACUUGAAUUAAACUGAAAACAUUUAUUCUCUGCUUUAUGCAUCAAAUAUUAAUAGCAUUAAUGCAAAA